CUCAUAAGCUAGCCCGAACUCAUCUCCUCAAAAGCUUCGCAGAUGAAAUGGACGUGAACCAGAGCUUCGCCAACGGAAAAUGCGGAAAGCGUCACGUUUGGGCCAAGUCGAAGUGAGCUCCUGAACGCCCUUCGUCGGUGAUGACGGAUCUUCCUCGACGGCACGUGAUAGAAGACGGAAAAUGCCAAGGGACUCAGUUCAAAAUCCAUGGAAGAAUCAAACGAAAUUGCUUCUUACUCAAGGUUCAAUAACAAUCGAGAUCGAAAAUGGAAUUAGACGUGUCGUUCUUAUGCGUGAAAAUACAGUCCGUCGAAGAACGUAUCAGAUUUUGUGAGCGACAUCCCUGCGUGCGUUGCGUGGUGAUAGGUGAAGAUCGAAGACGAAGAAGAACAACUUUCUCCCAAAAGUGUUCUGUUAAACGGUGAUGGUGAAGGGGCUCACUUGCGUUGAAGAUGUGGGUGAAGAAGAUUGGCUUUGAAGGAGGUUACAACAGAUGGGAAUAGGAACUCUAUAAAAGGUGAAGUUGAGGACGAAGAUGACAGGCGCAGAAUCGAAAAAAUGCAGGAUGAAGAGAGAUGGUGCAGAGUGCCGAAGACCAGGUGCCUAGCUGUAAUGAGGAUUUGGCUUGAUUAUUACAAUAAUGUGGGACUGUUGUAUUCCUAUGUUGUCGUGGGUUCGAAGUUAUGGGUUGCAGCUGGUUUGUGAUAUAGUUGGUAUGUCGAUUAAGAUGCUUAGGUGGAUAUGGGUUAAUGGGAUAUGGUUGGAUAUUGGAUGGGUAUUGAUAUAUUUUGGGCUUUUGGGUUAAUGGAGUGGACAAUGGACUUAGGUGGAUAUGGGUUAAUUGGAUAUGGUUGGAUAUUGGAUGGGUAUUGAUAUA